GCUCCUUAUUUCUCCUGACAAAACUGCAUUUUUCCUUUAAGGAAAAAAAAAUUCAUUAAUGCCUUAACAACUGCAAGACUCACCCUUUGGCCUCACAUCUUAUUCUCUCAAAUCUACUCCAGGUUCACAUAAGUUAAUAAAGACCCCAGACGUUGAUAUGAUAAAGAAGAGAGAUGGCACUCAAGAUCACCUAAAUCUUCCAUCCUGACAUCCACCAGGUUCCAGAUGCUGACAUGAUGACAACCGGACCUCCCUGGGCAGAUGACCCUACCAAUGUGUCCUGGAGCCCUGCUUCCAAAAAGCCCUGGCCCACUAGGGAAAGAGGAAGACAGGCUGGGAGUAUGGAUUGACCUGUCAAUGCCCAUGUUCACUGGGGAAGCAAUUACAGAAGCCAGACCUUCCACCUUCUGCACCCCAUAGUGACCCUGGGUCCAUACUCCCAGAGGGAUAAAGAAUAGGAAAGCUAUCAGGGGAGGGGAUGGGAUAUAGAGUUCUGGUUGUGGGAAUUGUGUAGUAUUGUACCAUUCUUAUCCUAUGGUUUUUGUCAGUGUUUCUUUUUUU